rnacentral:rRNA from 1 species
CGGCAACAGCUCAAAUUUGAAAUCUGGCCUCUUUGGGGCCCGAGUUGUAAUUUGUAGAGGAUGUUUUGGGUACCGCCUCGGUUUAAAUUUCUUGGAACAGAAUGUCAGAGAGGGUGAGAAUCCCGUCUUAGACCGGCGGUAGGGCCCGUGUAAAACACCUUCGAC